UCCUACGGGAGGCAGCAGUGGGGAAUAUUGCACAAUGGGCGAAAGCCUGAUGCAGCGACGCCGCGUGAGGGAUGACGGCCUUCGGGUUGUAAACCUCUUUCAGUAGGGAAGAAGCGAAAGUGACGGUACCUGCAGAAGAAGCACCGGCUAACUACGUGCCAGCAGCCGCGGUAAUACGUAGGGUGCGAGCGUUAUCCGGAAUUAUUGGGCGUAAAGAGCUCGUAGGCGGUUUGUCGCGUCUGUCGUGAAAGUCCGGGGCUUAACCCCGGAUCUGCGGUGGGUACGGGCAGACUAGAGUGCAGUAGGGGAGACUGGAAUUCCUGGUGUAGCGGUGGAAUGCGCAGAUAUCAGGAGGAACACCGAUGGCGAAGGCAGGUCUCUGGGCUGUAACUGACGCUGAGGAGCGAAAGCAUGGGGAGCGAACAGGAUUAGAUACCCUGGUAGUCCAUGCCGUAAACGUUGGGCACUAGGUGUGGGGACCAUUCCACGGUUUUCCGCGCCGCAGCU
rnacentral:rRNA from 1 species